UAGGGAAUUUUCGUCAAUGGGCGCAAGCCUGAACGAGCGAUGCCGCGUGAGUGAAGAAGGCCUUCGGGUCGUAAAGCUCUGUUGCGGGGGAAAAAAGGCAGCAUCAGGAAAUGGGUGCUGACUUGAUGGUGCCCCGCCAGAAAGUCACGGCUAACUACGUGCC
rnacentral:rRNA from 1 species